rnacentral:ncRNA from 1 species
AUAAACGCUUUGAAGGAAUACAGUAGGAAUAAGGAUUUUGUAUGAAGAGAGAGCCGGCAAUGGUGGGAACCGGUACACCCUUAUUUUGAAUUACAAUUCUGGAGCUACUUGUUAUGAGCGGCUAACAUACGUUACAUGUUAGAGUGGUUUCAUUUUUUAUGAAACAAUUUGGGUGGUAACACGGUAAUCAAUCGUCCCUGGC